GCAAACUUGUUUUUCUAAGGUCAGCGCCGCGAGCUGGCUACAUCGUCCUCUUAAGGUGGACUGGGGAAGUUGCGACCGACCUCCCUCCCCUCGCCUCCGGGACUCCGGCCGCGGCCACAUCGGGCAGAGACCAUGAAGGUGACCAGCUGAGGCUCUUGGAAAAAUCCAUCACCCAAAUCUAUCCGGGGUACAAGGCAGAGCAAGGGCUGCUGCUUGAAGGUCAGCGACGAGGCGGUCUCCGGGCCUGGGCUUCCAGAAGGCUCUGCCAUCCACCGUUCCCCGGGACACACACGCAGACCUCCCCGGGAUUAAGAAACUGCGGAUUAAGGAAGGAUAAUAAUUGAACCACCUGCUAUUUAUGUAUAGCACCUUUGGCAAAGACAGUCAAGAGGCCUUCCCCACACUGGGGCCCCUUUCAUCCCCCCUUCUGCCCCAGGAAGCGGGGAGCGGUGGGGGUGGGGGUCUGGCCUUGUUCUCCUAAUCCAAAGACCACAGAAAAGUCACCCUUGACUGACGGUCAGGGCUGGGAGGUCAUUGAGACCAGUGGGCAGCUGGGUAUGCUGGGGUCGGGGGACAGUUUGCCUGAGGUCACCCCGAGCGAUUGCGGCAGAUCAUUGAGGUGAACCAGCCACCUCCACGGGAGGCCUCCUGGGUUGCCCUGGAUUCAAAUCGAACUUCCUUCCUACGUAUGCCAUUCAUUCACGCACUCGCCAAUACUCUUUAAGCAUCUAUCGUGUGCCAGGCACUGUGCUAGGCUUGGGAAUACAGCACUUGGAGGGGGGUGGGAAACAGACAAAAACCCCUGCCCGCAAGGCAGGGAAGGGGCCCAGGAGUGCCCACGAGAGGAGACGGGUCGGGGAAGGCCUCUGACGACGUGCUAUUUGAGGGAAGACUGCAAGAUUCGGGAAAGGAAGCCAGAGGCGGCCCCGUCUGUGCUUUGCUUUUCUCUGUCACUCCCCGUGCGCAACCUGUCAGCGAUGCCUGUCUCCACCUCCAGAACCAAGCCGCUUCUGAGCGUCUCCACCAUCUCCCACCUGGGCACCUUCUUUCCACCCUCGGCCUCCCCUUCUCCCAUCGACUCUCCACUCAGCAGCCAGAGGCAUCCGUUCUGGAAGGCAGGCGUCAUCCUUCCCCUGCUGUCCAGGACUCGGGAAAUGACAUGUGUUUUGUGAGC